rnacentral:rRNA from 1 species
UGGGGAAUAUUGGACAAUGGGCGCAAGCCUGAUCCAGCCAUACCGCGUGGGUGAAGAAGGCCUUCGGGUUGUAAAGCCCUUUUGUUGGGAAAGAAAUCCAGCUGGCUAAUACCCGGUUGGGAUGACGGUACCCAAAGAAUAAGCACCGGCUAACUUCGUGCCAGCAGCCGCGGUAAUACGAAGGGUGCAAGCGUUACUCGGAAUUACUGGGCGUAAAGCGUGCGUAGGUGGUCGUUUAAGUCCGUUGUGAAAGCCCUGGGCUCAACCUGGGAACUGCAGUGGAUACUGGGCGACUAGAGUGUGGUAGAGGGUAGCGGAAUUCCUGGUGUAGCAGUGAAAUGCGUAGAGAUCAGGAGGAACAUCCAUGGCGAAGGCAGCUACCUGGACCAAGCACUGACACUGAGGCACGAAAGCGUGGGGAGCAAACAGGAUUAGAUACCCUGGUAGUCCACGCCCUAAACGAUGCGAACUGGAUGUUGGGUGCAAUUUGGCAGCGACAUGGUAUCGAAGCUAACGCGUUAAGUUCGCCGCCUGGGAGUACGGUCGCAAGACUGAAACUC